GACGACGAACCGCGGCCCAAGUAAUUGGGGCGUGCACCGCGCUUUUGUGUAAACCUUAAGCAGUCACCGACUCAAAUCUUUCAGACAUUCACCAACCUGUGGUGGUUCGUUUCGCUCCCCUGCGCUUUCCCCCCAUUUUUUUCCUUCCACAAUCUUCUUAUUCUAUCAUUUACGCAAACGCUCUGUGACCAACCCUAAUCUCUUGUUGAAACCUAGAAAACACGGAAAUUGAACUCCGUGAAUGCUUUAUUGCAACGAUCCUUAUAACGCGCUCCUUCUUCUUCUAAUUUUCUAAUUUCCAUCUCUCUACUCGGAGAAGGAAGCAGUUAUUUCUCUAUGCGCUGGCACGGUAAUUCUCUGGUUCAAGCAGGAUCUCCUAGAGACGAUCAUCCGGACUUCGUAGCCGACACCUAGGUCGUCGUCGGUCUCCGGAUUCUUUCUUGAUCUCUAAAUGUACGAUCAUCCAGGCCUUGUAGCCGCCUCCGAAUAUCCGGCCGCGGUUCCCCCUACGUCUUUGAUCAGCGGACUCUUUUUCGUGCGUAUGUUUCUUCAGCUUUGUCAUAGAUUCCUCGUCUUCUCUAAACUCGUUUUAGGUGUUUCUUUGUCUGUCGUUCAAUUGUUGUGGUUCAAACAGGAUCUCCGAGUCCACAGUCAUCAUGGCCUUGCAGCCGCCUCCGAGAUUUAGAUAUGCUUCUUUUGAUUUGUCUUCUACAUUCCUCUUUUUUCCUCAUCUCUUAGGGUUAUUAGGUUUCUUUUAUCGUUCAAGUGUUUUUGAAAUGUUUUAACUAUAUUAAUGUAAAAUCGAAUGAGUCAUUGAAAUGAAAAUGCCUGGUAAUGGAAAUGAUCAUUUUGAAAACAAUGCAGUAUUCUCAAAAUCUGAGCUGAUACAGGCACGUGGAAAACCAAAUUGAGUUGAGACACAGUAAUGUCUUGUUAUGCUUAGCCUAUGAUAAUUUUGCAACAAUAGAUUAUCGUGCUUUGCCAAAUUUACAAGCAACUGCUUGGCAGGCUAAUUUUCAAGCAUUUGUAAAUGCAACAAGAUUGCACAUGGGAGCCAAAACUUUGUAAUGGCAUGAUAUGGUGCAAAAAGAGUUAUAUCUGGUGAUUCUGCUGUGAUUUCUUAUUUUGAUUUGAAAUUCAUAUUGACUGAAUUUCCUGAUAAGUUGCAUGAGGCCAUGAGCUAUUUUGAUGAAAUAAUAGAACUAGUUCUUUGUACUUAUCCUAAUUUGAUUGCCUAAAUUUUUCUCUCACAAUGAUAGGAAAAGAAAAGAAAAGAUUCGGUCAUGGCCUUUGCACUCUGCUUUGUAUUUUCAGUUGAAUUAGGUCCAUCGAUUAGAUCCUCAAAAACAGCAAAUUUUUGUUAGUGAGAGAUAAUUAGGUGAGAGAAUGUUUUACGGAAUGAUGGAUCCUGAGUUGAUCAGACUUGUGCAGGAGCAAGAAUUGAAAGUCCCAUGAUGAAUUAGAUAGGAUACAACAAUAGUUCACACCUCUCUCCUUGUUUACUUUGAGAUUUUCAUUUAUUUGUGUGAUAUGUGUUGUGUUUGUUAUGAUUCAAAUCACAGGACCACUGAAAAGUGGAGCACUGCUAUUAGCAUAACCCCUUAACUUGAUGUCAUGCUUCCUGAAAACAAAGCUAUAUGAUGAGUGCAUAAAAGAAGGCUCUGAGGUCUUGGGGUAAUAUACUUUGUCAUGGUUCUUUAUCGAAUGGGUCAAGCUUAUAUAGAACACUUGGAGGCACCUGAAGUUUUCCAGAUGAUGGGCCUUUUGCAGAUGUCUGAGGUAAAUCUUUCCAAAUUUCUCAAGAUAUUAUACAGUUAGAGGGCUUCUUUUUAGCUUUUGCUUAACAUGCUGAACUCAUCGUUGGUAAAAUCAGGAAAGUAGAAAGUUUGUAUCUUCGAACUGGUUUUACGGCAUGGAUAGAACAUGAUUUUUAGGAUUUUGAACUCACGAAACCGAAAAUAUAGACUAUAAGCCUGUUAGAAAUGGAUAUCAAAAUUUUAUUAACAAAGAACGCAACCAAACUCGUGAGGCAGGCUCUUUUAUCCCUUAGAAAGUCAAUUAUAUUCACUUGGCUAAAUUGAAAGGCCAACUCUUUAAAGUAGAGCAUUUGAGAAAACCUUGUAGUGACCUUGCAUAUUAUUGUGUAAGCAUGCCUUAUUUUUUUCAAUAACCGAAAGGCUGCAUGUGACUAUUUUCAUGCAAUCAUGUGGUGGUGAUUAUUUGUUUGGGGAUCUGGUAAGGUGUGGGUUAUGGGAGUAUUAUUCUUAUGCAGUUUUUAAUUAUGCGGUACUAUGAUGCGAUCUGCCUGUUAUAAAAAAAUGCUGGCUUGUCCUUCUCUGUAAUGUAAUUUCUAUGUGAAUGUGCCAAGAUGAACUACCUUAAAUAUUUAUGGUUGAUUCUGUUACUUCUGUACGGGAAAAAUGAACUGAAGAAACUCAAAAAAUCCUAUUCUGCACGGUUGGAAACGUUUUUUUUUUUAAGCAACGAAGAUGAAGUUAAAAUCUGAUAUUUAGAAGAUGUUCCAUAAACUUUGUGAUGAUAUAACAAUCAUUGGGGCUAGGCCGGUAAGGUAAAUGAUGAAA